rnacentral:rRNA from 1 species
CCUACGGGAUGCAGCAGUGAGGAAUAUUGGUCAAUGGACGAGAGUCUGAACCAGCCAAGUAGCGUGAAGGAUGACUGCCCUAUGGGUUGUAAACUUCUUUUAUAUGGGAAUAAAAUGUUCCACGUGUGGGAUUUUGUAUGUACCAUAUGAAUAAGGAUCGGCUAACUCCGUGCCAGCAGCCGCGGUAAUACGGAGGAUCCGAGCGUUAUCCGGAUUUAUUGGGUUUAACGGGAGCGUAGGUGGAUUGUUAAGUCAGUUGUGAAAGUUUGCGGCUCAACCGUAAAAUUGCAGUUGACACUGGCAGUCUUGAGUACAGUAGAGGUGGGCGGAAUUCGUGGUGUAGCGGUGAAAUGCUUAGAUAUCACGAAGAACUCCGAUUGCGAAGGCAGUUCACUGGACUGCAACUGACACUGAGGCUCGAAAGUGUGGGUAUCAAACAGGAUUAGAUACCCUGGUAGUC